UAAUUAAACAUUCGUGAACGCUUUAGAUUGUCCCGAAUCGCUUUCUCUUCGUUCGAACAUACCUGAUUAGACUAGGAUCGACCUUUGUUUCAAGGCGUUUGUUCAUGUGUAAUAAGAUAGGUAAAAAUAAGGAAAAAGAAAUGACGCAUUGAAUAACCUCGAAACCGUGACACGAGGUUCGCCUCGUUCUGAAAAGAUCAGAGCCUAAUAAAUGCAAAGAAGAAAAAUAUCUGACUCCAUGGUCAGUGGGAAUACGCGUCAGGUACAUUCGCGUUUAAAUAAAAUAAAGAGUACAAGACGAAGAGAGAAGGGUUAAUUGGUUCUUGAUCAUUAAAGAGUGGCUUAUUUCACGUUUGAAUUUCACUUAAACGAGAAAUGGACAGCUAUUCGUUCCGUCGCGUCGGUAUAAAUGAAGGUUAAUACGCAAGAUGCGUAUAGUCCGGAACGAAUGCUCGUUCGCUCACUCAUCGACUUGUGUAAUUCGCCUACCAGUCGCCUUUACGUGGUCCAAUGUCAAGGAGAGUUGAAUAAACCCGAAAGUAGCAGAAGAAGAUGCCUUUGCAUCCCGCUAUCUUGGACGUACCGACAACGCGAAGGGGUUAUCUGCACGUCGGGACCGUGAAAUAUCUUCAUUCUUUGUCCCAUUUGUGCGAUCGGAUAUUCACUGCAGCGUUCGGCAGUUAAGAAAUCUGGAAUUAUGUAAUUCUGGUAAUCGUCGUGUCAGCUCGAUCGGACGAGCGUCACGUUCGGACACGUAUCAAUUUAUCGCCGCUGCGAGAAAAUGGAUCGAGUAGGAGGGAAAUUUUUUCGCAAACGGGUCAGAUCUCGAGAUGGAAAGUAUGCGGUACACGUAACAGCGCGAAUAGUGUUCGCGCAAACGCGAGCGUAUGCGGAAUACGAUACGCGCGAUCGAGUCCAUUUAAAAAUGCUGUCGUCUUGGUCCAGCGGGCUGCACUGAAAAUUAAAACGAACCGAGAACGGAUGCGUCUGUUUCCUCAGCCGACGUCGUUACGAAUUACAAUGAACUGCUGCUCGGUGCACGUGUACUGACGGAAAAUAUCUUCAGCCGGAUGCGUUCCGCUGGAUGUACAUACAUUCUUGAACCAAUGAAUAUACCUGGAUAUUUUCUUGUGACGACAUUUCGCGCAACCUUCGUUCUCUUAUGUAAAAAUAGCUUUGUUAUGGUUGAAUUCUGUUUUCGUAAAACAUUACGAUUUGAAUAUUUUUGGCCCAAGUUUCAG